rnacentral:rRNA from 1 species
UACGAAGGGGGCUAGCGUUGCUCGGAAUCACUGGGCGUAAAGCGCACGUAGGCGGCUUUUUAAGUCAGGGGUGAAAUCCUGGAGCUCAACUCCAGAACUGCCUUUGAUACUGAGAAGCUUGAGUCCGGGAGAGGUGAGUGGAACUGCGAGUGUAGAGGUGAAAUUCGUAGAUAUCUGAAGGAAUACCGGUGGCGAAGGCGGCAUCCUGGACCGACAUUGACGCUGAGGAGCGAAAGCUAGGGGAGCAAACGGG